rnacentral:rRNA from 1 species
AGGAUGGAUUAUCUGUUUAAUUGAAAAGUAUUUUUAUUUGGGGAAAGUAUUCUUAUUUCUAGUAAUGUUUUGAAAAAAUUUUUUUAGAUAUAGGGCAUUAGUAUUGUGAAAGAAAAUUUAAUUUAAUUUAAAAGAAAAAGUUGAUUUUGUACCUUGGGUAUCAGGGUUUAUUAAAAAUUGUUUAAAAAUUUUAGUUUUCUCGAAGUUAGAAGAGCUAUUUAAUUAGUUGUUUUAUUGUAGCAAAAAUAUAUUUAAUAAUUAAAUAGAGGUGAGAUGCUAUACGUUUCUAAUAUAUCUAGUUUUUUAAGAAAAAAAUUUAAUUUUUUACUGUCAGUUUUUAGUAUUUUUUUACUUUUUUAGGGAAAUAUUUGGCAGGAGAGAUAACUUAUGGGUUGAGCUUUAAGUUAAAUUUACAUAAUGGGGAUUGUUUUAAUAGUAAGUAGUAGGAUUUUAAGUUUCUGCUUAAGUGAUUUAUAUCUUGAUUAGGGGUUUAAUUAAGAUUUAAGUUUUGUUUGUAUUUUUUAUUAAAAUGUAAAUUUGAAUUUUUAAGAUUUAGAAAAAAUGAUAAAAUUAGUAUAAAUUUAUUUAUAUAUAUAAUUAUAUGGGAGGUUGUGUUAAGGAAUUCGGCAAAUUUAUUUCCCACCUGUUUAUUAAAAACAUGGCUUUUUGAGUAUAAUUAAAGGUCUGGCCUGCCCAAUGAUUGAUAUUAAAUGGCCGCGGUAUAUUGACCGUGCAAAGGUAGCAUAAUCAUUAGUUUCUUAAUUGGAAGCUUGUAUGAAAGGUUGAAUGAGGAAGUUUCUGUCUCAAUAAAAAUUUAUUUGAAUUUUAUUAUUUAGUAAAAAGGCUGAGAUAAAUAUGAAAGACGAGAAGACCCUAUAGAGUUUUAUAGUUUAAUUAGAAAGAGUAAUUAGAAUAUUUUUUUUUAUUUGGUUAAAUUAUUUGGUUGGGGUGAUUGAACAAUUUAAUAAACUUUUUUUUAAAAAUUUCACUGAUUAGUGAGUAAUUGAUCCUUAUUUGAAGAUUAGAAGAAAAAAUUACCUUAGGGAUAACAGCGUUAUUUUUCUUGAGAGUUCUUAUCGAAAGAAGAGUUUGCGACCUCGAUGUUGGAUUAAAAUUUAGGCUUGGUGUAGAGGCUAGGUUAUUAGGUCUGUUCGACCUUUAAAAUUUUACAUGAUCUGAGUUUAGACCGGCGUGAGCCAGGUUGGUUUCUAUCUUUAUAAAGAUAAUAUUUUUUAGUACGAAAGGACCAAAAAUUUUCUAUAUUAGUUUAUUUUGAAUACUAUU